CGACCAUCCAGUGAGGGGUGCCCAGUACUUGGGGGGCAACUCGGGGGGCAAGGCGAUGACUCAUCCUUCAUGAAGGAUUCAUCAGCCACUUUGGGGCAUUUCUCACAAAAUCACCAAUUAAACGCGACUAGUUCAACCUUCACAGCAUCUAUUCUCUUCUGCUCAUCAUAAAAGCAAUUUCUCAUUACUUCAAAUAAACAGCAAAUGCUUGCGCAGA